GCAUUGAUGGCUCAGUGAGGCCUUGGGACUGGCUCAGGAGGGUUGGCAACGACCCCCCAGAGCCGGAAACUUGGUCAAACUCGGUCAUUUAGAGGAAGUAAAAGUCGUAACAAGGUUUCCGUAGGUGAACCUGCGGAAGGAUCAUUACUGAGUGAGGGCCCUCUGGGUCCAACCUCCCACCCGUGUUUAUUGUACCUUGUUGCUUCGGUGCGCCCGCCUCACGGCCGCCGGGGGGCUUCUGCCCCCGGGUCCGCGCGCACCGGAGACACUAUUGAACUCUGUCUGAAGAUUGCAGUCUGAGCAUAAACUAAAUAAGUUAAAACUUUCAACAACGGAUCUCUUGGUUCCGGCAUCGAUGAAGAACGCAGCGAAAUGCGAUAACUAAUGUGAAUUGCAGAAUUCAGUGAAUCAUCGAGUCUUUGAACGCACAUUGCGCCCCCUGGUAUUCCGGGGGGCAUGCCUGUCCGAGCGUCAUUGCUGCCCUCAAGCACGGCUUGUGUGUUGGGCUCCGUCCCCCCGGGGACGGGUCCGAAAGGCAGCGGCGGCACCGAGUCCGGUCCUCGAGCGUAUGGGGCUUUGUCACCCGCUCUGUAGGCCCGGCCGGCGCCAGCCGACAACCAAUCAUCCUUUUUUCAGGUUGACCUCGGAUCAGGUAGGGAUACCCGCUGAACUUAAGCAUAUCAAUAAGCGGAGGAAAAGAAACCAACAGGGAUUACCUCAGUAACGGCGAGUGAAGCGGUAAGAGCUCAAAUUUGAAAGCUGGCUCCUUCGGGGUCCGCAUUGUAAUUUGCAGAGGAUGUUUCGGGAGCAGCCCCCAUCUAAGUGUCCUGGAACGGACCGUCAUAGAGGGUGAGAAUCCCGUAUGGGAUGGGGUGUCUGCGCU
rnacentral:rRNA from 1 species